GCCCAGAUCGCAUAGCCUGGUAUUGCGCGGGAUUGCUAAUCCCGUUCCUUUGGAAGCGUGGGUUCAAAUCCCACUCUGGGCG
rnacentral:tRNA from 1 species